AACGAGACCUUAACCUGCUAAAUAGCCAGGCUGGCUUUGGCUGGUCGCCGGCUUCUUAGAGGGACUAUCGGCUCAAGCCGAUGGAAGUUUGAGGCAAUAACAGGUUAACCCUUCACAGGCCUGUAACAGUGGGCCUCAGUAAACAACCGCUAGUCCAGCAUCGAAUACUUCUCGGGGAAGUCCCCAACUGUCGGGAGAAGGCAGGCUUCGGCCUGUGAUGCGGGCAACACUACCUGGUACAGGGAAGGCCG
rnacentral:rRNA from 1 species